rnacentral:rRNA from 1 species
GACGAACGCUGGCGGCGUGCUUAACACAUGCAAGUCGAACGGAAAGGCCCUGCUUGCAGGGUGCUCGAGUGGCGAACGGGUGAGUAACACGUGGGUGAUCUGCCCCUUACUUUGGGAUAAGCCUGGGAAACUGGGUCUAAUACUGGAUAGGACCAUGCUGUAGGUGGUGUGGUGGAAAGAUUAGUUUCGGUAAGGGAUGAGCUCGCGGCCUAUCAGCUUGUUGGUGGGGUAAUGGCCUACCAAGGCGUCGACGGGUAGCCGGCCUGAGAGGGUGGACGGCCACAUUGGGACUGAGAUACGGCCCAGACUCCUACGGGAGGCAGCAGUGGGGAAUAUUGCACAAUGGGCGCAAGCCUGAUGCAGCGACGCCGCGUGGGGGAUGACGGCCUUCGGGUUGUAAACUCCUUUCAGCCAUGACGAAGCCCUUGUGGUGACGGUAGUGGUAGAAGAAGCACCGGCUAACUACGUGCCAGCAGCCGCGGUAAUACGUAGGGUGCGAGCGUUGUCCGGAAUUACUGGGCGUAAAGAGCUCGUAGGUGGUCUGUCGCGUCAUUUGUGAAAGCCCGGGGCUUAACUCCGGGUUGGCAGGUGAUACGGGCAUGACUGGAGCACUGUAGGGGAGACUGGAAUUCCUGGUGUAGCGGUGAAAUGCGCAGAUAUCAGGAGGAACACCGGUGGCGAAGGCGGGUCUCUGGGCAGUAACUGACGCUGAGGAGCGAAAGCAUGGGUAGCGAACAGG